rnacentral:rRNA from 1 species
GACGAACGCUGGCGGCGUGCUUAACACAUGCAAGUCGAACGGAAAGGCCCUGCUUUUGUGGGGUGCUCGAGUGGCGAACGGGUGAGUAACACGUGAGUAACCUGCCCUUGACUUUGGGAUAACUUCAGGAAACUGGGGCUAAUACCGGAUAGGAGCUCCUGCUGCAUGGUGGGGGUUGGAAAGUUUCGGCGGUUGGGGAUGGACUCGCGGCUUAUCAGCUUGUUGGUGGGGUAGUGGCUUACCAAGGCUUUGACGGGUAGCCGGCCUGAGAGGGUGACCGGCCAAAUUGGGCGUGGGAAACGGCCCGGACUCCUACGGGGGGCAGGGGUGGGGAAUAUUGCAAAAGGGGCGGAGGCGUGAUGCAGCAACCCCGGGUGGGGGAGGCCGGCCUUCGGGUGGGAAACCGCUUUCGCCUGUAACGAGGGGGGAGGGACGGUAAUGGGAAAAAAAGCCCCGGUUAACUACGG